rnacentral:rRNA from 1 species
GUCUAUGGCCACACCACCCUGCAUGGCCCGAUCUCAUCUGGUCUUAGAUACUAAGCAGGGUGGGGCCUGAUUAGUUAGUACUUGGAUGGAGGCAGAUC